UGCGAAGGUUGGGAGGAUGGUGAGCUAGUCAUAAGGCUUUAGGCAUGGAGUUGUUUAGCUCGGGAUUUGGGUUUGAUAGAGGGAUUUUGAUGGAGUGUUUUGCAAAGGUUUUGGGUGGCCAUGCACGCAUGGGUCACAUGCACAUGGGGAGGACCUUCUUAAUGAAGGAUAUUUGAUUGAUUGCAGCUUUCCAAGAUGCCUACAAGAAAAGAGCACCAACAAGAAAGCAAAUUUGAAGUGGACAGUGACGGAAUCUUCUGUACUCAAGAUGAAAACCCACAUAGAACAACAACCAAUUGGUCUAGGAAGCGGACCCAGGUGAAUCCCGUGGUGGAAACCAUGUUAAUAUCGGCUUUAAAGAUGCACCACUAGGAAGCAUAUGAAACAGAAAAGGUGGCCAUGCAAAAGUGAGUCGGAUGUAAUGUCUGAAAGUGCCGAGCAGCAGUAUGGCUUUCUUUCUGAUUAACUGCUUUGUCAAAUUCUAAAGCUCUCAUUCUAAUUAUGCUCUAAUAAGAGAAUAUCAAAUCCAAAUCCA